CUGUGAUUUAGCUGAGGUGAUGUCAUUUUGCAGGCGCUGUAUUUUCCUUUUCAACUCGUCUAUUGCACCUUUGUUGUUUUUCAGCUCUGUGCUGCACUGGUUAGCCUGAGAUGAAACCAAGUCAAACUGUGGAGGAAAACAGUGAUUCAGCAGAUGGGACCCUCCUCACCUUGUUCUUGUACCAGGCCUCGGCUUCUCUGCGACUGCAGGCUGAAAUCUCCUCAUACUGGCUCUUGACGUCAGCGAGGAUCUUCUCCAUGUUCAGAUUUCGGCUGUUGUCCAUCUGCACCACCACAGACGUGUCCUUCACCUCGUCCCGCAGCUCCUCCAGCUCCUACAGUCUGGUGUGAUUAACAGACCUUGUCGAUGAAGGAGGCGAAGCGGUUGUUGAGCGUCUUCAUCUGCUGUGUCUCCUGCAUGCGCACCGUCUGCAGCUCUGGGUCCAGCUGCAGAUCCACCGGCGCCAGCAGACUGCUGUUCACAGACACAGGUCUGAUCGGGGCUCCAGAUGCCGGCAUCAUGUUCCCAAAGCCGAAAUAAGAGUUUCCCUGCCGGGGGAUUGAGGCGUUGGAGCCCACAGAGCGGCUGCUGAAACUCAUGGCUAAACACACACACGCUGCUCCUGACAAUCCUGAUGCUUAUAUACUGACAGGUGGGUGUGUAUUUCUGCAUAAAUGAAGAUAAACCAGCAUUCCUCAGUCUGAAAAACCUGUUCAGCCCACCUGUUAUCCACAGCAAACAUACUAGACAUUCAUGCACGCUCACCUCACUCACAACUACUGUUUUCACAUUACAAAGAUAUCAGGUACUUAAAACGGCGAGGAUUUCCUGAAUGUGAUGGUGUAAAAUAUGUGAUGCAUGUGUUAUGGAUGUGCUAUUAGUUAAAUGUGGCUUAUUAGAGUCGCUGUUAAAUAUUUUCGUUGAUCUGAUGUGACUUAUUAGUGUCAUAUUGUGCCAUUCAUGCACAAUAGACAAUAAAUCAUAGACUGUU
rnacentral:lncRNA from 1 species